rnacentral:snRNA from 1 species
ACACUGAGGGCUAUCUGGCUGUGAUAUCUGUCACCACACUGAUAGCCAGGGUUGAUUCAGCUGAUCUGACUGGGUAGGCGGGUGUCCCUUUCCUCCCUUACUGCUCCAUGUGCGUCCAUCCCGAAGCUGCCCGCUGGGUCAAAGAGGACGACCAUCCCCGAUAGAGGGAGGACCAUUCUUCAGUCAAGGAUAUACAAGUAGCUGCGCUCCCCUGCUAGAACCUCUAAACAAGCUCUCAAGAGAACACACACAAAAUAAGACAAAAAAAAAAGGGAAAGACAUCCCAUGUUCAUGGAUUGGAAGCAUUAAUAUUAUUAAACGACUCAUAAU